GGGCCUGUAGCUCAACGGUUAGAGCAGGGGACUCAUAAUCCCUUGGUUGGGGGUUCAAAUCCCUCCAGGCCCACCA
rnacentral:tRNA from 2 species